GUCAGCCCCACUGAAUUUCAAUGCUGUCUAUAAUUAAUAAUGAUGUUAUGAAAAUUAAUGCUUUUCCAUAAUCCAUUAUGACAUCAUCAGUAUAAUGAUCUGUUUAUUGCUUCUUUGCUGAUGGCAGUUAAAAGGAGCCACAUUUUCAAGAGGAGAAAAAGCAUGAAUCAUUUUCAAACCAGUAGAAUCCUUUCCAUCUAGAGAAUAUUUGAUUCUGUAAUCACACACCAAACAUGGUAUAAAAAGUAAUCAGUAUUCCAAAAUUCCAAGGCAUACUCAGGCAGCUAACAUGAAAUACUUGAUCAUUACAAUAAAGCAACAUUGGCUAAGUGAAUCUUCCUAAAUGGUUCUUCCAUUGAGACAUAAUUUCUAACACUUAAAAAUCUCGUUUGAAGAACUUAAAGUGGGAAACUGGGAAAGAAAAAAAAUAAGUUAGUAAAGAUGAUUGGUUUUGUAUAUAUUAAUUACUUAAUACCCAUUUAACCCACAAAAAAUAAAAUGCAACACCCACCUUGACUGUAUCUGAAACCAGAACUCCAGACAUCAAAGUUACACAGCUAACAAGAGGAGAAGACUGAACCUCUUCAAGGGUCAGACAUGUAGUAAACAGCUCGGAAACACUUGCUGAAGAAGUCAGAAUGUUAGAGACAGAGGCUUAAAAAUACCGAUACACAGCACCCACCCAAGACCUACCGCAAGAGGAUAGCCUUGGUAACGUAUUCAUCUUUAUUAGUUCCAUAGAUUAUAUUAUUAUUAUAUGAUUCAAAUAUGAAUAAUUGGUAAUCUUAUUCAAGCAGCGCCAAGAACCAUGGUUUCAAGGGCAUGUCAUCCUGAACAGGCAAUUUCUUUUUCUGAUUUUGAAGCCAAAUGACAUACACCUUGUUUCAUAAGCAUCAGGAUUACAGCGGAAAAAAUAAGGAAAACGAUGGGUCCCUUUCCUCCCUUUCCACAAGGCCUUACAUCUGACAGUGAGGACAACAAAUCUUACGCAGCUGGAUUUUUCACAGCUAUUUGGUAACAAGUGACAGAACACCAACUCAGACUCAGGAAAGCAAAAAGAGC
rnacentral:lncRNA from 1 species